AUACGGAGGAUCCGAGCGUUAUCCGGAUUUAUUGGGUUUAAAGGGUGCGUAGGCGGUUUGCUAAGCGGGAGGUGAAAUGCCGGCGCUCAACGUCGGAAGUGCCUCCCGAACUGGUGGACUGGAAUGACUCUGCCGUGGGAGGAAUGUGUAGUGUAGCGGUGAAAUGCUUAGAGAUUACACAGAACACCGAUUGCGAAGGCAUCUCACGAAGGGUUGAUUGACGCUGAGGCACGAAAGCGUGGGGAUCAAACAGGAUUAGAUACCCUGGUAGUCCACGCAGUAAACGAUGAUGGCUAACCGCUGGUUUUUUCGGAUCAGUGGCCAAGCGAAAGCGAUAAGCCAUCCACCUGGGGAGUACGACCGCAAGGUUGAAACUCAAAUGAAUUGACGGGG
rnacentral:rRNA from 1 species